rnacentral:tRNA from 1 species
GAGGCUGUAGUUCAAUUGGUUAGAGCAUCGCCCUGUCACGGCGAAACUUGCGGGUUCAAGUCCCGUCAGCCUCG